rfam:Drosophila persimilis strain MSH-3 cont1.012288, whole genome shotgun sequence.
AAUAAUUAGCGGGGAAAGAAGACCCUUUUGAGCUUGACUCUAAUCUGGCAGUGUAAGGAGACAUAAGAGGUGUAGCAUAAGUGGGAGAUAUUAGAUUUCGGUUUGGUAUCGACAAUGAAAUACCACUACUCUUAUUGUUUCCUUACUUACUUGAUUAAAUGGAACGUGUAUCAUUUCCUAGCCAUUAUACGGAUAUAUUUAUUAUAUCUUAUGGUAUUGGGUUUUGAUGCAAGCUUCUUGAUCAAAGUAUCACGAGUUUGUUAUAUAAUCGCAAACAAAUUCUUUAAUGAGAAAAUGCAUUUAUGUAUUUUCAAUUUGAAAAUUUGGUAUAACUCCAAUUACUCAGGUAUGAUCCAAUUCAAGGACAUUGCCAGGUAGGGAGUUUGACUGGGGCGGUACAUCUCUCAAAUAAUAACGGAGGUGUCCCAAGGCCAGCUCAGUGCGGACAGAAACCACACAUAGAGCAAAAGGGCAAAUGCUGACUUGAUCUCGGUGUUCAGUACACACAGGGACAGCAAAAGCUCGGCCUAUCGAUCCUUUUGGUUUAAAGAGUUUUUAACAAGAGGUGUCAGAAAAGUUACCAUAGGGAUAACUGGCUUGUGGCGGCCAAGCGUUCAUAGCGACGUCGCUUUUUGAUCCUUCGAUGUCGGCUCUUCCUAUCAUUGUGAAGCAAAAUUCACCAAGCGUUGGAUUGUUCACCCAUGCAAGGGAACGUGAGCUGGGUUUAGACCGUCGUGAGACAGGUUAGUUUUACCCUACUAAUGACAAAACGUUGUUGCGACAGCAUUCCUGCGUAGUACGAGAGGAACCGCAGGUACGGACCAAUGGCACAAUACUUGUUCGAGCGAACAGUGGUAUGACGCUACGUCCGUUGGAUUAUGCCUGAACGCCUCUAAGGUCGUAUCCGUGCUGGACUGCAAUGAUAAAUAAGGGGCAAUUUGCAUUGUAUGGCUUCUAAACCAUUAAAAGUUUAUAAUUUAUUUUAUAAACGACAAUGGAUGUGAUGCCAAUGUAAUUUGUAACAUAGUAAAUUGGGAGGAUCAUCGAUCACCUGAUGCCGCGCUAGUUGCAUAUAAAAACAUUAUUUAAUACAAUGACAAAGCCUAGAAUCAAUUGUAAACGACUUUUGUAACAGGCAAGGUGUUGUAAGUGGUUGAGCAGCUGCCAUACUGCGAUCCACUGAAGCUUAUCCUUUGCUUGAUGAUUC